rnacentral:lncRNA from 1 species
GGUGCACCUCAGCGCACAGUCCCAGCGGCCAGGCUUGUCCCGCGCCUCUCGACCAAGUCUCUACGGUAAUGAUGAAGCCCCUGCUCUGGUCCAAGCUACCUGUGAACAGCGCCCAGCGGGCCGGGCCCCCAACCUCGCUCCUGAACGUACCCGCAAGCCCGCCGUGAGAAUUCAGCGAAGAGUAAAGGCUGGAGAAAGUUGCGUGUCUCAGGCUAAGCAGAGCAAAGUGGGGUGAGGGCUUCGCCGCUAGGAACAGAGAUGCCCUUAGGGAGCCCCCUGAUGGAAGAGCUCUCUGCUUAAGAAGGUCAGCACGCCCUUACACUCAGUUUUACCACGUUUUUCAAGAUCCAAGGCACAAUAGGCAUAAAGUUAUCCUGAAAAGGACAAGAGGAGUGUCAGAAGUAGGAAUGGCAGUCGAAGGAGCUU